CCUACGGGUAGCAGCAGUCGAGAAUCAUUCACAAUGGGGGAAACCCUGAUGGUGCGACGCCGCGUGGGGGAAUGAAGGUCUUCGGAUUGUAAACCCCUGUCAUGUGGGAGCAAAUUAAAAAGAUAGUACCACAAGAGGAAGAGACGGCUAACUCUGUGCCAGCAGCCGCGGUAAUACAGAGGUCUCAAGCGUUGUUCGGAAUCACUGGGCGUAAAGCGUGCGUAGGCUGUUUCGUAAGUCGUGUGUGAAAGGCGCGGGCUCAACCCGCGGACGGCACAUGAUACUGCGAGACUAGAGUAAUGGAGGGGGAACCGGAAUUCUCGGUGUAGCAGUGAAAUGCGUAGAUAUCGAGAGGAACACUCGUGGCGAAGGCGGGUUACUGGACAUUAACUGACGCUGAGGCACGAAGGCCAGGGGAGCGAAAGGGAUUAGAUACCCCGGUAGUC
rnacentral:rRNA from 1 species